CACGUAGGGCGCAAGCGUUUGUCCGGAAUUAUUGGGCGUAAAGAGCUCGUAGGCGGUCUGUCGCGUCGGAUGUGAAAAUCCAGGGCUCAACCCUGGACCUGCAUUCGAUACGGGCAGACUAGAGUUCGGUAGGGGAGACUGGAAUUCCUGGUGUAGCGGUGAAAUGCGCAGAUAUCAGGAGGAACACCGGUGGCGAAGGCGGGUCUCUGGGCCGAAACUGACACUGAGGAGCGAAAGCGUGGGGAGCAAACAGG
rnacentral:rRNA from 1 species